GAUGAAGAACGCAGCGAAAUGCGAUAAGUAGUGUGAAUUGCAGAAUUCAGUGAAUCAUCGAAUCUUUGAACGCACAUUGCGCCCUUUGGUAUUCCAAAGGGCAUGCCUGUUCGAGCGUCAUUUGUACCCUCAAGCUUUGCUUGGUGUUGGGCGUCUUGUCUCUAGCUUUGCUGGAGACUCGCCUUAAAGUAAUUGGCAGCCGGCCUACUGGUUUCGGAGCGCAGCACAAGUCGCACUCUCUAUCAGCAAAGGUCUAGCAUCCAUUAAGCCUUUUUUUCAACUUUUGACCUCGGAUCAGGUAGGGAUACCCGCUGAACUUAAGCAUAUCAAUAAGCGGGGA
rnacentral:misc_RNA from 1 species